CAGCGCCAUGAGUUGCAAUCAGGAUUAUUGGGCCUAAAGCGUCCGUAGCCUGUUUGAUAAGUCUUUUGUGAAAUCGUUGGGCUUAACUUAACGUUGUGCAAGAGAUACUGUCAGACUCGGAACCGGUAGGAGUCGGAGGUAUUCUUGGGGGAGCGGUAAAAUGCUAUAAUCCCUGGAAGACCACCUGUGGCGAAAGCGUCCGACUAGAACGGCUUCGACGGUGAGGGACGAAAGCCAGGGGAGCGAACCGGAUUAGAUACCCGCGUAGUCC
rnacentral:rRNA from 1 species